UUUCCCCCCCCCCCUGGGAUUUGAGACCCCCGCCCCAGUCUUCCUUNNGGGGGGGCAGCAGGUGGGGAAUUUUUGCCACAAUGGGGGAAAACUCUUGANNGACAACCAUNNCCGCGGGNUANAAAGAAGGCCCUUGGGGGUUGAAAAGUCCUUUUCAGCGGGGAGAAAGGGUNGUAAAGUUAAUACCUUCGUUCGUUGGCGUUUACNCGCAGAAANAGCNNCGGCUAACUCCGUGCCAGCAGCCGCGGUAAUACGGAGGGUGCAAGCNNUUAAUCGGAAUUUUCUGGGCGUAAAGCGCACGCAGGCGGUUUGUUAAGUCAGAUGAGAAAUCCCCGGGCUCAACCUGGGAACUGCAUUUGAUACUGGCAAGCUUGAGUCUCGUAGAGGAGGGUAGAAUUCCAGGUGUAGCGGUGAAAUGCGUAGAGAUCUGGAGGAAUCCCGGUGGCGAAGGCGGCCCCCUGGACGAAGACUGACGCUCAGGUGAGAAAGCGUGGGGAGCAAACAGGAUUAGAUCCCCUGGUAGUCCACGCCGUAAACGAUGUCUACUUGGAGGUUGUGCCCUUGAGCCGUGGCUUCCGGAGUUAACCCGUUAAGUCGCCCCCCUGGGGAGUACGGCCCCAAGGUUAAAACUCAAAUGAAUUGACGGGGGCCCCCCCAAGCGGUGGAGCAUGUGGUUUAAUUCGAUGCAACGGGAAGACCCUUCCCUGGUCUUGACAUCCAGGGAACUUUUCAGAGAUGAGUAUGUGCCUUCGGGAACCGUGAUACCGGUGCUGCCUGGGUGUUGUCAACUUGUGUUGUGAAAUGGUGGGUUAAGUCCCGCAACGAGCGCAACCCUUAUCCUUUGUUGCCAGCGGUCCGGCCGGGAACUCAAAGGAGACUGCCGGUGAUAAACUGGAGGAAGGUGGGGAUGACGUCAAGUCAUCAUGGCCCUUACGACCAGGGCUACACACGUGCUACAAUGGCGCAUACAAAGGGAAGCGACCUCGCGAGAGCAAGCGAACCUCAUAAAGCGCGUCGUAGUCCGGAUUGGAGUCUGCAACU
rnacentral:rRNA from 1 species